rnacentral:lncRNA from 1 species
UAUUCAUUGUGAUUGUAGAUCUGCAAUAGAUAAGUGUGCACAAGAGAAUGUGGAGACUAAGAUGAAUAGAUUUAUUAAAGUAAGACAUAAGUUCAUUUGACAGAAUUUGAUGGAAAAUGUGUUUGGAUUGGAAUUUGUGAAAUCUACGAAUAAUUUGGCUGAUUAGCUUACGAAGGGAUUAUUUAGGAUAGUAGGAUAGUGAUCCUAGAAUCGUCGAG